CGGAUCGGAGUCUGCAACCCGACUCCGUNAAGCUGGAUUCGCUAGUAAUCGCGCAUCAGCCAUGGCGCGGUGAAUACGUUCCCGGGCCUUGUACACACCGCCCGUCAAGCCAUGGGAGCCGGGAGUGCCUGAAGGCCGUGACCGCAAGGAGCGGCCUAAGGUAAAACUGGUGACUGGGGCUAAGUCGUAACAAGGUAGC
rnacentral:rRNA from 1 species